rnacentral:rRNA from 1 species
AGACUAUGUGCUUGAUAGGGUAGAUGUGUAAGUGCAGUAAUGCGUUUAGCUGACUACUACUAAUAGAGCGUUUGGCUUGUUUUUUG